rnacentral:lncRNA from 1 species
CUGUGAAUCAUGAAUUCUGUGACUAAUGUAUCCAGACUUACACUGGUAGACCUUUCUUUUUGUUUCAGGAUUUCAAAUGCAUUUAAAUCAUGGAAUCAUAGAAUCAGAAUAUGCUGAGUUGGAAGGCAUACAUCAGGAUCAUCGAGUCCAACUCCUGCACAUUAACAGCUUUUAGUUGUCCAUGUCUCAAACAAGGAAUCAUCAGUAUCAUGUGUGAAUUGCCUUCCUAAAGGAACUAGCAACCUGAGUCAUCAGGAUAGAUAACAUACAAAAUCUGCUGACUCUGGGAAGAUUUGUGUCCUGACCCAGAACCUCAGCUGUUACACGUCCCCUGAGCUUCAGCCUGGAACUUCUGGGUCCUCCUGUACCAAGUGGAGUGGAUAACAAUGAAGACCUAAGACUCUGGAGCCCACCACCAAGUCAUAUUGCCCUUACAUUCUUGUCACACCCAUGUACAUCUAGGAGAAGAUCUGGAAGAAAAAUGGCUCUGGAAACAGCAGAGAAUGUCUCAGUAACUUCAGUAGCAAAACCCCUUAUGUUCAUACUCUACCUCUAAUUAAAUAUUGAGAUCUCUGUUGAAAAUUGUAUCCUUUUCAAAUGCUAACAAGUGAUUACACAUGUAUAAGAACCUACAAGGAUAAUCAUGCAGGUGCUUUUUUUGGAAGAAUGAUGAGAGUCAUACUUUCAGCAACAGUGCUACGUUAACUUGCAAAUUAUUUGGUACAGAACAUGUGUAUCCCUAUGUUGGUCUAAAAAGGCCCUUACAAACAUUGAACAAUAUGGGAUCAUAAACAGUAACAAUCUUCCAAGAUUAGGUCUUUCACAGUUAAGGUUCAAAGGCUCUUCCACUGUGAAAAUGUUGUUGAAUCAUCAACCAUUUGCUGAACUUCCUGACAAAGCCUCUGCCUAGGGGAUAAAAAUCAAGCGAGGAAGAGUCUGUAGUUAAUCACACAAGCCUUUUUAAAGUUGCUGUGUGAUAAUAAUUAAUAUGUACUUAGCUCUUCAGUAGGUUUUGCUGCAGUCCUGGCUUUCUACCAUAUGUGAGGCUCUUUUUGUCUUGUCACAACUCCUUUGUUUUCCAGAGGGUUUUCCUAUAUAAUCACUUCUUUACAAGGAGGAUUAUUUUAUAGGCUCCUUUUGCCACAAUGUCAACAUUUCUAAUUUGAAGGGCUCGUAUCUUGUAAAUGCCAAGCAAAAUGCUAUGACUAUUACAUGUAUCUAAGGCUAAUUUUUUUAACAUUUGUUUAAAAAUCUCUGCUCCUCCAUUGCAUGUUUUGGCUCUACACAUGAAAAUGUGCACAGUCACAUUCAAACACAUAUUUGUGUAUGUUAUAUGUACCACCAAAGACAAACAAAUGGCAUUAACUUGUCCAGUCUUUCACCUGUCAUCAGUUUAAUGGCUAAGUCUAUUUUCAUGGUAGCACUGAAAGAAUAGGGCUCAGUAUUUGAAACCCACUGUGGGAGCCUGACACUGGCAAUGCAGGGAUAGUCACACUGUGAUGUCAGUGCAGAGCAUAUCAAGCACAGGGUCACUGCUAUCACUGGUAUCUCCUUGG